CUUUUAUUGUUAUUAUUUCCAAAUAUCUUGAUGAAAUCUCUGAAAAAAUGUUACGGUUUUAUUUAACGGACUAUACGACAUACGACAUACGACAUACGACAUACGACAUACGAAGUUAUAUUACGCAGUCUGCAAAAUGCCCAGUCAGAAAAUGUUAGUAGGCUGACUUCAUCUGAAGUCUCAUUCUGCUUACAUUCUGUUGACAGAACCUGUUGACAUUCUGUGUCAGCAGAUCCUGCUCGAUUUCUGCUGCCAAUUUGCUGGCACAGAAUGUCAAUAGAUUCUGUCAGGUUUCUGGCAGCAGUUUGCUAACAUUGUCAGAUAUUACAGAAUCUGUUAGCGAUCUGUUGGGUUCUUAACAGCAGAAAUUUAUAACAGACUUUGCGCAUAAUCUGUCCUUUCAGGUUUGGUUAUCGGGGUGUAUUUUAAGAUUUGACAGAGUUUGGCGAUCAGCUAAAGGAACGUGUGUCAAACAGAAACGAAACUGAAUGGUUCAAAGUUCUCGAAUCACAUAAACGAGAUUUUGUGAUGUCUUGCAUACUUUGAUAAAUAAUAUCCAGUUUCCUCUUCGCACAAUUGUUCAAGUGUUAUAGAUAGUACAGUGUAAUAAAGGAAUAAUAGCAAAACUAAAUGACGACAAAAUAAUACAUCCCUCGUCAUUAGUUCGAUUUAUA